GGCCAUGGGCGGCCACAGGUGUCUCACCAACAGCCACCCCUGCCUUCAAACGCCAGUCCCAUGGCCAUCCAGUCCCCUGCCUCUGAGCUGCUAGGACCAUCCUUAGCAGUGGCCCAGUGUCUGAGCUAAUGGGAACCAUUCUCCUUGAGAAAUCCAGCAAAGUCACAGAUGAGAAUGCCAAAUCGACCCCAAAUGACAUCGGAUUGUUCCAAAGGUCCGCCCGCCCACUGAACUUUCCAAUGGACGUGACUUCAGACACAGGGCUGUGAGCAGAAACAACCCAGUAGCAAAGAGCCCACCAACAGCCCAGAUCAUGGCUUCUAAACACCAAUUUCUACUAAGAUAAACUAGGGCUCCUUGGAGAAAUGGCUGAUUCUGGGUUCAGGACAGGGAAAGUACAAGAUCAACCAACAACAGCAUGUUUUCCAGGAGGCAAAACACUGCUCAAAGAAUGCUAGAGACACGUCAAAAGGACAUGGAUGGGAGCCAGCCUGCCGGGCACCCACUGGACAAACUGGGGACAAAUUUAGCAUCAAGAUAGUCACUCUAAUGGGUUAUAAUCUAUUGAAUAAAAUAGGAAACAAGAAGUCCAUAUAGAUAUAAUUAAUAGCAAACUGAAAAUUUUAUAAGAAUAGGCUAUUUUUACAUUGUUUCAAAGCACCUCUCCACAAAUUACUUAUUAAUCAGAAACGGGAAAGGAGAAAGCUUACAGUGGCAAAUCCAGCAGAAAACUUCCUUCCUCAAGAUAGCAUGGUCAACGUCAUCAGUAAUGCUAUAAAUCGAAAUCUGGGUCACGUAACAGGAUGCAAGCAGAAGAACACAAAGUCACCUCUAUGAUGCUCCCAUUACAAAUGCAUAGCCUGAACAUGAGCAAAUACCAGAAAAACCCAAACUGAGGGACAUUUGGCAAAAUAACUACUAUUCAGAAGCAUCAAGUCAUGAAAGUCGAGAUAAAGACGAGCAACUCUCCCGACUGAAGAGCACGGCCCUCCCAAGCCAUGUUGGUGGCUGCAGCAAAAGGAAAAAUCAAGUUAACACUGACCCUGUAUUUCUUUACACAUUUGAUGUUUUGUUCAUCAUGAUUGUUCUUGCAUUGAUUUUGAGUUUUUAAAAUAUCGCAU